rnacentral:rRNA from 1 species
AACGCUAGCUACAGGCUUAACACAUGCAAGUCGAGGGGAAACGACAUCGAAAGCUUGCUUUUGAUGGGCGUCGACCGGCGCACGGGUGAGUAACGCGUAUCCAACCUGCCCACCACUUGGGGAUAACCUUGCGAAAGUAAGACUAAUACCCAAUGAUAUCUCUAGAAGACAUCUGAAAGAGAUUAAAGAUUUAUCGGUGAUGGAUGGGGAUGCGUCUGAUUAGCUUGUUGGCGGGGUAACGGCCCACCAAGGCGACGAUCAGUAGGGGUUCUGAGAGGAAGGUCCCCCACAUUGGAACUGAGACACGGUCCAAACUCCUACGGGAGGCAGCAGUGAGGAAUAUUGGUCAAUGGGCGAGAGCCUGAACCAGCCAAGUAGCGUGUAGGAUGACGGCCCUAUGGGUUGUAAACUGCUUUUAUAAGGGAAUAAAGUGAGUCUCGUGAGACUUUUUGCAUGUACCUUAUGAAUAAGGACCGGCUAAUUCCGUGCCAGCAGCCGCGGUAAUACGGAAGGUCCGGGCGUUAUCCGGAUUUAUUGGGUUUAAAGGGAGCGUAGGCCGGAGAUUAAGCGUGUUGUGAAAUGUAGACGCUCAACGUCUGCACUGCAGCGCGAACUGGUUUCCUUGAGUACGCACAAAGUGGGCGGAAUUCGUGGUGUAGCGGUGAAAUGCUUAGAUAUCACGAAGAACUCCGAUUG